UACGUAGGGCGCAAGCGUUGUCCGGAAUUAUUGGGCGUAAAGAGCUCGUAGGUGGCUUGUCACGUCGGGCGUGAAAUGCCGGGGCUCAACCCCGGGACUGCGUCCGAUACUUCCGAGCUGGAGGUAGGUAGGGGAGAUCGGAAUUCCUGGUGUAGCGGUGAAAUGCGCAGAUAUCAGGAGGAACACCGGUGGCGAAGGCGGAUCUCUGGGCCUUACCUGACGCUGAGGCGCGAAAGCUAGGGGAGCGAACAGG
rnacentral:rRNA from 1 species